rnacentral:lncRNA from 1 species
CAGGAUCUUGGUAGCUCUUAGGGGUUAUUCUCAAAAUUUCUGACAAGCACCCCCGUCCUUUUUACAUGGGAGUCACCCCCUACUUCCGGGGCCAGAUAAAGCUAUUGAAAAGGUAAUUUUCUGUGUAUAUAUAGAAGUUAGCAAAUGUACAUGACAGUUACAAGUACUGUAUGUAGUAUCAGUUGGAAUUCUUUCUGUUAAGAAUUGAUGAAGGGGAUAGCACUGUUAUUGAAUAUGACUGACACCAUUAUCUUAGAGUAGAGAUUUCAGGACUCCUGUAUUACAACUGCUAACCUUAUCUUGAUUUAAGCAUUGAAUGUUGACCUUCAGUAGCAUAUUGGAUGUUCUAGGUUUCUUUUUGGUGGGGCUAAUCUAAUGUGUUUAGUAAAGGCAAGUCAAUGAUUCCAUUGAUCGGCAAAAGCUUGAAAAAGACUUGGCUAAAUAUUGUAGUUUGAGGUCUCAUUCAAAAGAACACUAGAUUAUCUUGAUGUGUUGAGAAGGUUGAACAAUGACCAUAUUCACCUGGAGAAUGUAACGUGUCGUGUGUGUGCUAAGUGUACUAGGUAAAACUGCCGUUCAGUUUAUCACUUUUAUUAAAACACUGUUUUUAUCCAUUUUCAAUGUUGCUUGUAUUAACUUCUAUUCAAAAGUGAACAGCAAGGGAUAGGUCUUUCACCAAAAUAUUUUCAUUUAUUAUCAGGCAAACAAGAUCAAAGUAAACAACAACAUACGUGUAGGACAACUGCUGUAAGAUCACUGGAGGAGUCAGAUACUGCUAGACCAGGGCAAACAAGAAACACAAGACGCCAAAAGAUCAGUGGAGGAAGUGAAAUACAUCAGACAUGGCAGGAUUUCUCAGUGACCAGACGAUUGAGGGAAGAUAAAGGCAAAGACAAAGACAAGACACGACACGACACUGGAGGCAAUAUUAAGAAGUUAGGACACUUGAGACAGACAUACAUGAAGUAGCAAGGGACCAAAGUAAGACUGAUUGAGAGAUUUUUUUCGAACCGAAAAUAGGACUAAUCAGAUAGUUUUUGUUCGUGGACUAAACGUUAGGAUCGGCGAUGUUUUCUUCAAAAUUAACUAGAAUGCAAAGGCUAUCGAUAAAAAAUGAACUGGCCCGAAAAAGGAUUUACAGUUAGGGUUUGUGGAAAAUGUUUCGUCAGGUUUGUUUCACAGUUUUAAAUCCAGUUUUAUUUUUUUUUUUGUCUUUCACGAUGCGAGAGCUUCGUGGAUUGUGUGACUGAUGCGUACGUGACUCUUGAAAAUCAGUGGUGUUACGUUACACUAGCGGCCGUUGAGACUGUGUUAAUAAGACUUUGUGCGGGAGUUUCAAAACACGGCUUUGCAACAGGAGAUUCAAGUGUUAAUUUAGCAAAUAAAGAUUGUGAAGUGCCUUUUGAUAUUUUGUUGACUUGUUUAGGCAAGGCAGCAGGGUACCAAACGAAACUUUAUUUUCUUUAUUUUCUGAGUUACCAGUUCAAAUACGGCAACAUUUCCUGCUUUUGAAUACUUCCCGUUCUAAACUUUUUAACAUAUUCUGUACGGUCGUUGGUGUAAUGUAACACCACUGUUGUUCAAUAGUCAGGUACGUUUCUAUCGUAUAAUUCACCGAGUUCUCGUAUCGUGAGCUUCGUAAGUCGUUGAUUUUCUUUGAGAAGCAAAUUUUUAU